rnacentral:rRNA from 1 species
ACGAGCGGCGGACGGGUGAGUAACGCGUAGGAAUCUACCGAUUAGUGGGGGACAACCUGGGGAAACCCAGGCUAAUACCGCAUAAGCCCUUCGGGGGAAAGCUGGGGAUCUUCGGACCUGGUGCUAAUUGAUGAGCCUGCGUUGGAUUAGCUAGUUGGUUGGGUAAAGGCUGACCAAGGCGACGAUCCAUAGCUGGUCUGAGAGGAUGAUCAGCCACACUGGGACUGAGACACGGCCCAG